UUAUGCUAUAAGGAAAGACGAAUCACCUGCAAUCACUGAUGACAGUAGCCCAACUACUGUUGCACUAUAUGAGCAGUGGGAGCAAUCCAACCAGCUGAGCGUGAUGUUCAUUAAGAUCAAAAUUUUGGUUGAGAUACGUGGUUCUAUCAACCAGCAUGUAAAGGUUCGACACUUGCUUAAGGUUAUUGAUGACCGGUUCAUCACUUCAUAUAAGGCUUUAGCAAGCAUCCUGAUCAUGAAAUUCUCCUCUUUUCGGCUCACUAGUGUGAAAGGUGUGUAUGAGUACAUAAUGCAAAUGCAAGACAUUUCAGCUCAACUUAAGAAACUGGAGGUUGAUAUGUCUGAGUCCUUCCUGAUACAUUUCAUUCUGAACAUCGUUCCUCCAGAAUAUGGUCUAUAAAUGAAUUAAUGACCAUGUGUGUUCAGGAAGAAGAAAGGCUUGUAAUGGAGAUGGGUGAGAGUGCAUUGUUGACAACUGCUUGUUGGAAGAACAAAACAACUAAGUCUCAAUCUAAUCAUAAGGGGAAUGGUAAAAUGCCACCUCAAGCUAAUAUUAAGAAGGUGACAAAGUGUUUCUUUUGUAAGAGAGAAGGGACACAUGAAGAAGAAUUGCCCUAGAUUCCAGAAAUGGCUUGAGAAGAAAGGGUAUGCAAAACCUAAGGAAACUAGUCGAAAAUGAGCAAAGCAUUUUAUCUGGCAAUAAGCUAGGCUUACCUGUGGAGGCUAUUGGAACUUGUAUUUUAACUUUAAGUAAUGACUUUAUUUUGAAAUUAGAAAGGACCUUUUAUGUGAUAA